GAAAGAUUGAUUGGGCUGACUGGACUCUUUCUCCAUUCAAAAUAACCUUUCAUAUUUAUGCAACACAUAGUUUACCAACUUCACAGAAAUGAAAAACUUUGUGUGACGUGUUGGGGCUAACAAGAUGAAGAUGGACUCCUGCCAUCAUAAGGUUCCUGAUCUAGGCACAGGGAUUCCUGGAAACAAUUCCCCACAGAUAUCAA
rnacentral:lncRNA from 1 species